GAUCAUGGCUCAGGAUGAACGCUAGCGAUAGGCUUAACACAUGCAAGUCGAGGGGCAGCAUGGUCUUAGCUUGCUAAGACUGAUGGCGACCGGCGCACGGGUGCGUAACGCGUAUGCAACUUGCCUCACAGAGGGGGAUAACCCGUCGAAAGACGGACUAAUACCGCGUACACUCUAUGUUGGGCAUCCAAUGUAGAGGAAAUGAAAUUCGCUGUGAGAUAGGCA
rnacentral:rRNA from 1 species